GUCAUGUGGCGGAAUUGGUAGACGCUUGCGAGAAGUACAAUCGCGUAAAAACUGAAUAGGUUUCCUGAAAUAUGGAUGCAGGUUCGAGUCCUGCCAUGACCA
rnacentral:tRNA from 1 species